UGGGGAAUUUUGGACAAUGGGCGAAAGCCUGAUCCAGCAAUGCCGCGUGUGUGAAGAAGGCCUUCGGGUUGUAAAGCACUUUUGUCCGGAAAGAAAUCCUUGGCUCUAAUACAGUCGGGAGAUGACGGUACCGGAAGAAUAAGCACCGGCUAACUACGUGCCAGCAGCCGCGGUAAUACGUAGGGUGCAAGCGUUAAUCGGAAUUACUAGGCGUAAAGCGUGCGCAGGCGGUUUGCUAAGACCGAUGUGAAAUCCCCGGGCUCAACCUGGGAACUGCAUUGGUGACUGGCAGGCUAGAGUAUGGCAGAGGGGGGUAGAAUUCCACGCGUAGCAGUGAAAUGCGUAGAGAUGUGGAGGAAUACCGAUGGCGAAGGCAGCCCCCUGGGCCAAUACUGACGCUCAUGCACGAAAGCGUGGGGAGCAAACAGGAUUAGAUACCCUGGUAGUCCACGCCCUAAACGAUGUCAACUAGUUGUUGGGGAUUCAUUUCCUUAGUAACGUAGCUAACGCGUGAAGUUGACCGCCUGGGGAGUACGGUCGCAAGAUUAAAACUCAAAGGAAUUGACGGGGUCAUAGCUGUUUCCU
rnacentral:rRNA from 1 species